CAUCUCCAGCGAGGAUACUUUAUUUUAGCAAGUGGUGUUAAGCCAGACAUAACCACUAGGGGACAGUAAAAACAACCCUUAAGGUCAGUAUUCCUCCAAGACCCCACCUACUCUCACCUGAGGCCAAGAUGGGCAGUGUCUCACCUGGCUUUCACCUAGCGCUCUGUUAACCACUUCCUGCCUAAUCUGAAGUACCUCCCCGAGAUGGAGUCGUUCUUAGUAGAACUGGGGGCCAAUUUUGAUCGGAGGGAGGGUGUCCAGUCCGGGGGUGGGAGUGAAGUCAUGGUUUCCAGAAACUCAGACCCUUGUCCUUGUCCUAGCUGGAGAGGCUAUAGAGUUCUCUGCUUCAGAUGGGUAGGUCUCUUUUCUAAGCAGUGAAAGCCAUGUGGGGUGGUCACUGCGCUGAAACCCCUGGGACAAGCUUUAGUGGAGACUGUUCACGUAGCUUCAAAAUCCAGACUUCCACCUCCCUGCAGCCAUUUAUCUGUCAAGGGCUUCAGCCAGAGGGAGGGAGGAAGGUAGCCCACCAGUGAAGGGAAGACGACAGGAUGGGAGCAGGAGGUAGGCAGUUAAGACAGGGUUCGAAAGCGGAUGGCUUUCGGCAGCUUUCAGGUACCCGCUUUGCGUGUCGUUUCUCCUGUUACUGGCAGCCUUUCAGGGCUCAGAUCAGCCGAAGUUCCGGGAUUGCGUUCCGGGCCUUAACGAGUUAAACUGUGGGAGUGGGGUCCGGAGUCCCUCCCUCCCUCCUUCGCGAAUCAAGUGUCACCACUUCCAAGUCCAUCAGACUGGCACGCUAGGAGUUAAGUCUGCCCGCAAUCCGCAAGACUGGAGCCGGAGAGGGGGGAGGAGGGGGGAGGGGGAAAGCAAGGAGCUGGGGGAAGCAGACUGCAGGGAGACAGCGCCUGGAACCCCCUCCCCAGGGACCUGGCCCUGGGCCCCCAGCCCCAAAAGGGGCCCUGCCCUCCCCGGGGUCGCGCUCUCUUCCCCCCGCCCUGCCCCCGCCCUUCAGCUUUGUGUCCCCAGGAGGGUGGGCUGCAGGAUUUCCAGCCAAGCCUUGGCUGCCUGCUCAGUUUUUCCAAACCCUCCAGUCGGAGAAGGCGGGAGCCUUGUCAGGAUAAGAGUCCCUCCCCCCUCUGCCCCUGCCGGCCCCCUGGUCCAGCUUGGAGUUUCCUGUCCCCGCAGCUUUCCAAACUCCUUUCCCUUUCCGACCCUGGCCCCAGCGCCCCCUAGCCCCACCUCUGUUGGUUCCCAAGUUCCAAGUUCAGGUUGGAGGGGCCAGGUCGACUCCACAAUCCUAGCGAGGCGCUGGUAAAGCCUCACUCUGCCCGCCGACCCAGAGACUUGCGGGGCGCCGGCCUGACUCCCGGCCUGGGCCCGCCCAGUCCCAGGACUCGGCUUCUGGCCACCAGGGAAGGUGGCUCUUGGGGUCUCCCGCUCCCGGAAGGAGGCGGUGCCGGGGACGUCGGCACAGCUGGGCGGUAAGGUCGGUUCGGCAGAUGCCAGGCCCUAAGGCAUACUUCAAGGAGGGGCAAUGUUCCCAGCGCUGGCACGCCUCUGUCCAGAGAGUCUAUUAUAUAAUAAUCACCAUCUAUCAGGAAGCCAGGCUGCUGGAGAGAGUGGGUAAGCCAGGAUGCCCGGAUCCGCGCCUUAUCCAGGGCCCAGAAAGGUGUCUCCAGCAAGCUACGCACAGUGUGGGGCAAAGCCCAGUGGUCGGAUGACGAUGAUGAUGGUGACAGGAGGGGGAUUCCAGGGACUAGU
ensembl:lincRNA C030014I23Rik RIKEN cDNA C030014I23 gene